rnacentral:rRNA from 1 species
GAGUUUGAUCCUGGCUCAGAACGAACGCUGGCGGCAGGCUUAACACAUGCAAGUCGAACGCCCCGCAAGGGGAGUGGCAGACGGGUGAGUAACGCGUGGGAACGUGCCCUAAGGUACGGAACAACUCCGGGAAACUGGAGCUAAUACCGUAUGUGACCGAGAGGUGAAAGAUUUAUCGCCUUAGGAUCGGCCCGCGUUAGAUUAGCUAGUUGGUGGGGUAAAAGCCUACCAAGGCGACGAUCUAUAGCUGUUCUGAGAGGAAGAUCAGCCACACUGGGACUGAGACACGGCCCAGACUCCUACGGGAGGCAGCAGUGGGGAAUCUUGGACAAUGGGCGCAAGCCUGAUCCAGCCAUGCCGCGUGAGUGAUGAAGGCCUUAGGGUUGUAAAACUCUUUCGCCGAGGACGAUAAUGACGGUACUCGGAGAAGAAGCUCCGGCUAACUUCGUGCCAGCAGCCGCGGUAAUACGAAGGGGGCUAGCGUUGUUCGGAUUUACUGGGCGUAAAGCGCAUGUAGGCGGGCCGUUAAGUUGGGGGUGAAAGCCCGAGGCUCAACCUCGGAAUUGCCUUCAAAACUGGCGGCCUGGAGCAGAUGAGAGGCGAGUGGAAUUCCGAGUGUAGAGGUGAAAUUCGUAGAUAUUCGGAGGAACACCAGUGGCGAAGGCGACUCGCUGGCAUCUUGCUGACGCUGAGAUGCGAAAGCGGGGGGAGCAAACAGGAUUAGAUACCCUGGUAGUCCACGCUGUAAACGAUGAGAGCUAGUUGUCGGCACGCAUGCGUGUCGUUGACGCAGCUAACGCAUUAAGCUCUCCGCCUGGGGAGUACGGCCGCAAGGUAAAACUCAAAGAAAUUGACGGGGGCCCGCACAAG